rnacentral:rRNA from 1 species
CGUGUGGGCAACCUGCCUCAUACAGAGGGAUAAUCAUGUGAAAACGUGACUAAUACCGCAUGUCAUUACUGGAGGGCAUCCUCCGGUAAGAAAAGGAGCAAUCCGGUAUGAGAUGGGCCCGCAUCUGAUUAGCUAGUUGGUGAGAUAACAGCCCACCAAGGCGACGAUGGAUAGGGGUUCUGAGAGGAAGGUCCCCCACAUUGGAACUGAGACACGGUCCAA